UCGAGGGGCAGCGGGGGAGUACAAUACUCCCGCCGGCGACCGGCGCACUGGUGAGUAACACGUAUGAAACCUGCCCGUAGCAGGGGGAUAAGCGGAAGAAAUUCCGUCUAAUACCGCGUAACAACCCAUGGAGGCAUCUCCGUGGGUUUAAAGGAAGCGAUUCCGGCUACGGAUGGUCAUGCGUCGCAUUAGCUUGUUGGCGGGGUAACGGCCCACCAAGGCGACGAUGCGUAGGGGUUCUGAGAGGAAGGUCCCCCACACUGGUACUGAGACACGGACCAGACUCCUACGGGAGGCAGCAGUGAGGAAUAUUGGUCAAUGGCCGCAGGGCUGAACCAGCCAAGUCGCGUGAGGGAUGACGGUCCUAUGGAUUGUAAACCUCUUUUGUCAGGGAGCAAAGGGCGCCACGUGUGGCGUUUUGCGAGUACCUGAAGAAAAAGCAUCGGCUAACUCCGUGCCAGCAGCCGCGGUAAUACGGAGGAUGCGAGCGUUAUCCGGAUUUAUUGGGUUUAAAGGGUGCGCAGGCGGAAUGUCAAGUCAGCGGUAAAAUUUCGGGGCUCAACCCCGUCGUGCCGUUGAAACUGGCGUUCUUGAGUGAGCGAGAAGUAUGCGGAAUGCGUGGUGUAGCGGUGAAAUGCAUAGAUAUCACGCAGAACUCCGAUUGCGAAGGCAGCAUACCGGCGCUCAACUGACGCUCAUGCACGAAAGCG
rnacentral:rRNA from 1 species